rnacentral:rRNA from 1 species
UACGGAGGAUGCAAGCGUUAUCCGGAAUGAUUGGGCGUAAAGCGUCCGCAGGUGGCUAUGUAAGUCUGCUGUUAAAGAGUCUGGCUCAACCAGAUAAAGGCAGUGGAAACUACAUGGCUAGAGUGCGUUCGGGGCAGAGGGAAUUCCUGGUGUAGCGGUGAAAUGCGUAGAGAUCGGCAGGAACACCCAGGGGGAAACCAGCCGGCUGGGGACGUGCUGACGCUCAGGGGCGAAAGCGUGGGGAGCGAACAGG